UCCCAGAGGGCUCAGUGGUAAAGAAUCUGCCUGCCAAGCAGGAGAUGCAGGUUUCAUCCCUGGGUUGGGAA
rnacentral:tRNA from 1 species